rnacentral:rRNA from 1 species
AUGAACGCUGGCGGCGUGCUUAACCCAUGCAAGUCGCACGGUGAAAGAGAGCUUGCUCUCUGGAUCAGUGGCGAACGGGUGAGUAACACGUGAGCAAUCUGCCCCUGACUCUGGGAUAAGCGCUGGAAACGGCGUCUAAUACCGGAUACGAGCUGCGAAGGCAUCUUCAGCAGCUGGAAAGAACUUCGGUCAGGGAUGAGCUCGCGGCCUAUCAGCUAGUUGGUGAGGUAACGGCUCACCAAGGCGUCGACGGGUAGCCGGCCUGAGGGGGUGACCGGCCACACUGGGACUGAGACACGGCCCAGACUCCUACGGGAGGCAGCAGUGGGGAAUAUUGCACAAUGGGCGAAAGCCUGAUGCAGCAACGCCGCGUGAGGGACGACGGCCUUCGGGUUGUAAACCUCUUUUAGCAGGGAAGAAGCGAAAGUGACGGUACCUGCAGAAAAAGCACCGGCUAACUACGUG